CUACGGGAGGCAGCAGUCGAGAAUCAUUCACAAUGGGGGAAACCCUGAUGGCGCGACGCCGCGUGGGGGAAUGAAGGUCUUCGGAUUGUAAACCCCUGUCAUGUGGGAGCAAAUUAAAAAGAUAGUACCACAAGAGGAAGAGACGGCUAACUCUGUGCCAGCAGCCGCGGUAAUACAGAGGUCUCAAGCGUUGUUCGGAAUCACUGGGCGUGAAGCGUGCGUAGGCUGUUUCGUAAGUCGUGUGUGAAAGGCGCGGGCUCAACCCGCGGCCGGCACAUGAUACUGCGAGACUAGAGUAAUGGAGG
rnacentral:rRNA from 1 species